GUGCUUGCUUUGGCAGCACAUGUACUAAAAUUUGAACAAUACAGAGAAGAUUAGCGUGGCACCUGUUCAAGGAUGACACACAAAAUCGUGAAGUGUGCCACUGAUGG